rnacentral:rRNA from 1 species
CCUACGGGAGGCAGCAGUGAGGAAUAUUGGUCAAUGGCCGGGAGCCUGAACCAGCCAAGCCGCGUGAAGGACGACGGCGCCACGCGUUGUAAACUUCUUUUGUCAAGGAAUAAAAUGAGGCUCGAGAGCCUGAUCGAAUGUACUUUAUGAAUAAGCAUCGGCUAACUCCGUGCCAGCAGCCGCGGUAAUACGGAGGAUUCGAGCGUUAUCCGGAUUUAUUGGGUUUAAAGGGUGCGUAGGCGGGCUGUUAAGUCAGCUGUGAAAGUCUGCGGCUCAACCGCGGAAUUGCAAUUGAUACUGGCAGCCUUGAGAACAGGUGAGGUAGGCGGAAUGCGUGGUGUAGCGGUGAAAUGCUUAGAUAUUGCGAAGAACUCCGAUUGCGAAGGCAGCAUACUAA